rnacentral:rRNA from 1 species
UAAGGAAUAUUGCUCAAUGGGAGAAAUCCUGAAGCAGCAACGCCGCGUGGAGGAUGAAGGGUCUAUGACUUGUAAACUCCUGUAAAGAAGGAAAAAAUUCCCAUUAGAUGGGAGAUGAUGGUACUUCUGGAGUAAGCCCCGGCUAACUACGUGCCAGCAGCCGCGGUAAUACGUAGGGGGCAAGCGUUGUCCGGAUUUACUAGGUGUAAAGGGUGCUCAGGCGGAUUUGUAAGUCAGAGGUGAAAUCUUACAGCUUAACUGUGAAACUGCCUUUGAUACUGCAAGCCUAGAGUAUGGAAGAGAGUGAUGGAAUAUCUGGUGUAGCAGUGAAAUGCGUAGAUAUCAGAUAGAACACCAAUGGCGAAGGCAGUCACUUGGUCCAUUACUGACGCUAAAGCACGAAAGCGUGGGUAGCAAACA